UUAUUGCCUUGCUAUUCUGCCCUCUCAUUGGCUCUUAGCCCAGCUACCUCACUUCCUUGUCACUGCCUGUCUGUACAGACUUCCAGGUCUCUAUGGUUAGUACUUGGAUUAAAGGUGUGUGUCACUCACUACAUGUGGUUCUGUUCCCUACUGUGGCCUUGAACACACAGAGACCCUGCCUGCCAAGUGAUUGGAUUAAGGGCAUGUGCUACCACCGCCUGACUUUUGUGUUACUUAAAAUGGCUUGCUAUUUCCUCUGAUCUCCAGGCAAACUUUAUUUAUUAACAUACAAAUAAAAUAUCACCACAUUUCAGCACAAAUAAAGUAUCACCACACUUUGGAGAUAUGAAAUGUGCAAUGCCCAUUAGGGUUAUAUAAAAAGAGUCCAGGGCUAGAGCUGGAGAUGGAGGAGGUGGUGUAGGCAUGGAGUUUAAAGCCACUCAGUUGGAUGAGGUGUUCCAGGAAGUGCACUCACACACAGUCAGGAGAACUCAGUUGCCCCAGUGGUUGAAAGAGGAACAGCAGAGGACUGAGCUGGAGCUGUCUGAGGAGGAAACCAGGAGUGAGGCCCGAAGGUCAGAUGAAGCAGGUGUUUCCUAGAGACCCGUGAUGAGCCAGCCCAUCAGUAGCUCAGAUGCUGGAAACAGGACAAGUAAGAUGAAGGUCGCAACACAGUCAUUGAAUGUACCAACGUGGAGGUCGCUGGUGAUGCUAAAACAGCUGUUUCGGUGGGAUGGAAGAGAUAAAAGCUUGGGGGAGAGGAUGUAAGCAUGAAAGAACACUUACCCGUGCUUGUAAAGAACUCUUCCAAUGAAAGUUGUUUUCUAGACUUUUGGAGCUUAGUAAAAUCAUAUUUAAUACAGAUUUUUAUGAGUUUACAGUUAUCGUUACUUAUUUCAGUUGUGCUCUGUGUGUACUAUUCUUUGAUAUAAAAUUGACUUCUUGGUUUUGUUUUGCUUUUUUUAAAACUUAAAAAAUGAAGCAGAUAUUCAGAAAAGCAGCCCAUUUGAAGGAACAUUUCAGUAGUUUUGUUUUUCCUUUUUAAGUGCUGAGGAAUAAAUCAGAACCAUUGAACUCUUA